rnacentral:rRNA from 1 species
AUUGAACGCUGGCGGAAUGCUUUACACAUGCAAGUCGAACGGCAGCACGGGGCAACCUGGUGGCGAGUGGCGAACGGGUGAGUAAUACAUCGGAACGUGCCCAAUCGUGGGGGAUAACGUAGCGAAAGUUACGCUAAUACCGCAUACGAUCUACGGAUGAAAGCGGGGGAUCGCAAGACCUCGCGCGAGUGGAGCGGCCGAUGUCAGAUUAGGUAGUUGGUGGGGUAAAGGCUCACCAAGCCAACGAUCUGUAGCUGGUCUGAGAGGACGACCAGCCACACUGGAACUGAGACACGGUCCAGACUCCUACGGGAGGCAGCAGUGGGGAAUUUUGGACAAUGGGCGCAAGCCUGAUCCAGCCAUUCCGCGUGCAGGAUGAAGGCCUUCGGUUGUAACUAGCUUUGUACGGAACGAAACGGACGAGCUCUAAUACAGUUGUCUAAUGACGGUACCGUAAGAAUAAGACACCGGCUAACUACGUGCCAGCAGCCGCGGUAACG